GAUGAACGCUGGCGGCGUGCUUAACACAUGCAAGUCGAACGAGAAGUGGAGACGGAAACCUUCGGGCGGAAGACUUUAUUUCGAGUGGCGGCCGGGUGAGUAACGCGUGGGUAACCUGCCUCAUACAGGGGGAUAACAGUUGGAAACGACUGUUAAUACCGCAUAAGACCACAGCACCGCAUGGUGCGGGGGUAAAAACUCCGGUGGUAUGAGAUGGACCCGCGUUCGAUUAGCCAGUUGGCGGGGUAACGGCCCACCAAAGCGACGAUCGAUAGCCGAUCUGAGAGGAUGACCGGCCACAUUGGGACUGAGACACGGCCCAAACUCCUACGGGAGGCAGCAGUGGGGAAUAUUGCACAAUGGGGGAAACCCUGAUGCAGCGACGCCGCGUGAGUGAAGAAGUAUUUCGGUAUGUAAAGCUCUAUCAGCAGGGAAGAAAAUGACGGUACCUGAGUAAGAAGCCCCGGCUAACUACGUG
rnacentral:rRNA from 1 species